CACCUUAAUCAUUGAAUUGAAUCGCAUGUUGGCCACUUCAGAUCUAUCCGUGUUGAUGAAAGCAAAGUUCGGAACCCUUUAUGAUCGGUGCCAGGCGUGAUUUAGUGAUUGCUGCCGCGAAAGAAUAUCAAUCAUUGUUUCACAGAAAAGGUACAACCUGAAAGCAACCAACAAGUUCCCUAGUGAUAAUAUCUUGAGGUAAAAUGCAGGGCUUUAUGAGUGGAACUACGUAUUUGACAGAUGAUUACAAAUAUAAUAUAUUAAAAUUAUUACAAAUUUAAAUCAAUAAACAAUAUAUUGUGGUCAACUCUCGUC
rnacentral:lncRNA from 1 species